GGUUGGAAGCUAGAAAGAAGGAAAGAUACAAGAAGGAGGCUGAGGCUCACAUGCAGGAAAUCGAUGACAUGACUUGCAAAGUGGAGGAGUAUAAGGAACGAUUGGCAUACUUAGAGCACUUGGUGCAGGGAGAUCAGAGCCUGGAUGAACCAACAGAGACUGAGCUGGACCUGAGGGAUAUGAGCUCACUUAGCAAAUGGAUUACCAUUUUGACCAACAAGUUGAAAAUGUGGACCUCGACACAAGAGGACCAGCUCCUCUAGAAUAAUUUAGUAAACCUCCG
rnacentral:misc_RNA from 1 species